rnacentral:rRNA from 1 species
GACGAACCGAGCGAACGUUGUUCGGAAUCACUGGGCUUAAAGGGCGCGUAGGCGGGUGCUCAAGUCUGUGGUGAAAUCCUCCGGCUCAACCGGAGAACUGCCAUGGAUACUGGGUGUCUCGAGGGUGGUAGGGGUAUGCGGAACUAUCGGUGGAGCGGUGAAAUGCGUUGAUAUCGAUAGGAACUCCGGUGGCGAAGGCGGCAUACUGGACCACUUCUGACGCUGAGGCGCGAAAGCCAGGGGAGCGAACGGG